rnacentral:tRNA from 1 species
AGUAAGGUCAGCUAAUUAAGCUAUCGGGCCCAUACCCCGGAAAUGUUGGUUCAAAUCCCUCCCGUACUA